AAAGUUUAAUAUAUCUUUUACACAUUUCAAGAAGUAGCUUGUUCUAAUUUAUGAAUGAAAACUGUAGUAGGCCAUAAAAUGUUAACAUAAGGCAAAUAAGUGAAAAUUAUUUUAGAGCUUGUUUUUCAUAGAUCUGGACCUACUGGUACAAGAAUAGAACCUGCAUUAGAUGACUGACUGCAAACUUCUCCAUAAGUUGGCCUCCAGUAAUAAUGCUUUUUAAGGCCAUUGGAGACUUCUGCAAGAUACACAUGUCCAUCCACCACAAAUGGCUCCACAUCUGUAUUGUCUGGUUUUAGACGGCCUGUUUGAAUUAAGUCUGAAUAUGCCUGUGAUUUUUAAAAAAAGAACAAACUAUCAUUAAUAAAAUAGGUUGUUCAUUUAUUGUAAUUAAAUUUCUAUAUUCAAAUUAGCUGAACUGAUUUUCAGUUUAAAAUAUUUUGAGUAA
rnacentral:lncRNA from 1 species